GGGCCUGUGGUGUAGUUGGCAACACGCCUCCUUCGCAAGGAGGAGACUCUGGGUUCAAAUCCCAGCAGGUCCA
rnacentral:tRNA from 1 species